GGGCCCAUAGCUCAGCUAGGAGCUUUAACAGCUAGAGUCAGAGCGCCGGCCUUCUAAGCCGGAGGUCGCGGGUUCGAGUCCCGCUGGGCCCG
rnacentral:tRNA from 1 species